GGUGAUGAUUGAGUGGUGGUAAUACCCGGCUCCAUUCCGAACCCGGAAGUCAAGCGCCACUUCGCCGAUGAUACUGCAGCCGACGGUUGUGGGAAAGUAGGGCGUUGCC
rnacentral:rRNA from 1 species